AUUGCCUGUGGUGCAAUGGAUUACUGUGUCUGGCUGUUAACCAGGAGAUUGGUGGUUCAAAGGUUGGUGGUUUGAGCCCACCCAGGGAUG